GAGUUUGAUCGUGGCUCAGAUUGAACGCUGGCGGCAUGCCCUACACAUGCAAGUCGAACGGCAGCAUGAUCUAGCUUGCUAGAUUGAUGGCGAGUGGCGAACGGGUGAGUAAUACAUCGGAACGUGCCCUGUAGUGGGGGAUAACUAGUCGAAAGAUUAGCUAAUACCGCAUACGACCUGAGGGUGAAAGUGGGGGACCGCAAGGCCUCAUGCUAUAGGAGCGGCCGAUGUCUGACUAGCUAGUUGGUGGGGUAAAGGCCCACCAAGGCGACGAUCAGUAGCUGGUCUGAGAGGACGAUCAGCCACACUGGGACUGAGACACGGCCCAGACUCCUACGGGAGGCAGCAGUGGGAAUUUUGGACAAUGGGCGAAAGCCUGAUCCAGCGAUGCCGCGUGUGUGAAGAAGG
rnacentral:rRNA from 1 species